CUCAAGUAAUUCACCUGCCUUGGCCUCACAAAGUGCUAGAAUUACAGAUUGGAAAACCUACAAGAAAAAAAUCCUUGAUCGUUUUAGUAUUGAUCACUCCUUCUUCCACUGCUUGUAUGUAAUUUUAUGCUGAAGGAACAAUUUCUCCUUAGGGAUGCGGAUAGGUAAAGCUGAAGUGAAUGAAGAGGUAAAAAAACUUAGGCUCAGAGUGGUAAGCAGCCUUGUCUAAUGUCACAGAACUAAUAAGGAACAAAGCUGCAGCUCCAAUUCAGGUCUCUAAUUCCUUCGUU
rnacentral:lncRNA from 13 species